rnacentral:rRNA from 1 species
AGAUUGAACGCUGGCGGCAUGCCUAACACAUGCAAGUCGAACGGGUGUAGCAAUACAUCAGUGGCAGACGGGUGAGUAACACGUGGGAACCUUCCUAGGGGUACGGAACAACUCAGGGAAACUUGAGCUAAUACCGUAUACGUCCGUAAGGAGAAAGAUUCAUCGCCCCUAGACGGGCCCGCGUCGGAUUAGGUAGUUGGUGGGGUAACGGCCUACCAAGCCUACGAUCCGUAGCUGAUCUGAGAGGAUGAUCAGCCACACUGGGACUGAGACACGGCCCAGACUCCUACGGGAGGCAGCAGUGGGGAAUAUGGACAAUGGGCGCAAGCCUGAUCCAGCCAUGCCGCGUGAGUGAUGAAGGCCCUAGGUUGUAAAGCUCUUUCGGCGGGGAAGAUAAUGACGGUACCGCAGAAGAAGCCCGGCUAACUCGUGCCAGCAGCCGC